rnacentral:rRNA from 1 species
UACGUAGGGGGCGAGCGUUGUCCGGAGUUACUGGGCGUAAAGCGCACGCAGGCGGUCUGCUAAGUUUGGAGUGACAGUUGGUGGCUUAACUGCCAAAGUGCUUCGAAAACUGACAGACUUGAGGGCUUACAGAGGGACACGGAAUUCCGGGUGGAGUGGUGAAAUGCGUAGAGAUCCGGAGGAACACCAAAGGCGAAGGCAGUGUCCUGGGGAGUACCUGACGCUCGAGGUGCGAAAGCCAGGGGAGCGGAACG